GUUCAGCUGACAAGUCCCAAACAGGACGAAACGCGCGUCCUGGAU
rnacentral:hammerhead_ribozyme from 1 species